ncrna:Yersinia frederiksenii ATCC 33641 Moco (molybdenum cofactor) riboswitch
ACUGAACAUAAACUCCUAGCCUUAGUGUCUACGUUGUUGUGUUUUUCUAACAAUAUGAUGCUCUGGCCGUGGCUUUAAGCCACCAGGGUGCGAGGUAGAAAUGCCUGCAUCUCCCGUAUUUGGAAAGGUGUUAUGGUACAACUGAC